rnacentral:rRNA from 1 species
UAGCGGCGAGUGAGCGGCAAAAGCUCAAAUUUGAAAUCUGGCUCUUUCAGAGUCCGAGUUGUAAUUUGAAGAAGGUAUCUUUGGGUCUGGCUCUUGUCUAUGUUUCUUGGAACAGAACGUCACAGAGGGUGAGAAUCCCGUGCGAUGAGAUGAUCCAGGCCUAUGUAAAGUUCCUUCGAAGAGUCGAGUUGUUUGGGAAUGCAGCUCUAAGUGGGUGGUAAAUUCCAUCUAAAGCUAAAUAUUGGCGAGAGACCGAUAGCGAACAAGUACAGUGAUGGAAAGAUGAAAAGAACUUUGAAAAGAGAGUGAAAAAGUACGUGAAAUUGUUGAAAGGGAAGGGCUUGAGAUCAGACUUGGUAUUUUGUAUGUUACUUCUUCGGGGGUGGCCUCUACAGUUUAUCGGGCCAGCAUCAGUUUGGGCGGUAGGAGAAUUGCGUUGGAAUGUGGCACGGCUUCGGUUGUGUGUUAUAGCCUUCGUCGAUACUGCCAGCCUAGACUGAGGACUG